rnacentral:rRNA from 1 species
GACGAACGCUGGCGGCGUGCUUAACACAUGCAAGUCGAACGGAAAGGCCCUGCUUGCCGGGUGCUCGAGUGGCGAACGGGCGAGUAACACGUGGGUGAUCUGCCCCUUACUUUGGGAUAAGCCUGGGAAACUGGGUCUAAUACUGGAUAGGACCAUGCUGUAGGUGGUGUGGUGGAAAGAUUAGUUUCGGUAAGGGAUGAGCUCGCGGCCUAUCAGCUUGUUGGUGGGGUAAUGGCCUACCAAGGCGUCGACGGGUAGCCGGCCUGAGAGGGUGGACGGCCACAUUGGGACUGAGAUACGGCCCAGACUCCUACGGGAGGCAGCAGUGGGGAAUAUUGCACAAUGGGCGCAAGCCUGAUGCAGCGACGCCGCGUGGGGGAUGACGGCCUUCGGGUUGUAAACUCCUUUCAGCCAUGACGAAGCCCUUGUGGUGACGGUAGUGGUAGAAGAAGCACCGGCUAACUACGUG